UUUCCGUAGGUGAACCUGCGGAAGGAUCAUUAAUGAGUUUUUAUGGUCUUUGUUGGUUUUUGAUUAACAAAGUUACCUAAAACUUCAUCCUUUGUUUAUACAAAUUGUAUACUUUGGCAAGACGCUUUGACUUGAAGUUGGAGAAUAUUCAGCCACAAGAAGAAGCCACUGACGUCAUCCGAUGUGAGUGUGUUUUGCUUGCCAAAGGUCUUAACUCUUUUAUACUGUUGUCUGAGUACUACAAAAAUAAAUUAAAACUUUCAACAACGGAUCUCUUGGUUCUGGCAUCGAUGAAGAACGCAGC
rnacentral:misc_RNA from 1 species